UACGGUAGGGUGCAAGCGUUGUCCGGAAUUAUUGGGCGUAAAGCGCGUGUAGGCGGCUUGGCAAGUCGGGUGUGAAAUCCCUCAGCUUAACUGAGGAAGUGCGCCCGAAACUGCCGAGCUUGAGUACCGGAGAGGGUGGCGGAAUUCCCCAAGUAGAGGUGAAAUUCGUAGAUAUGGGGGAGGAACACCGGGUGGCGAAGGCGGCCACCUGACGGAUACUGACGCUGAGACGCGAAAGCGUGGGGAGCAAACAGG
rnacentral:rRNA from 1 species